GGCUUGGUGGUGCAGUGGUUAGCACUACCGCCUUACAACAAGAAGGCUGUGGGUUUGAAACCGGCCUGGGGCC